GCUAUAUUUCAUAUAUAAAACUAUUUCGGAUAGAUUUAAAGCUCGUAGCAGUACUUCUAUAUUCAUUUAAUGACAUCAAAUGAACGACAUCAAGCAACGAACCAACAUGGAAUACUUUUAAAAGUUUAUACCCAAAAACCAAUUUCCUCAAUAUCAUUGCAGUUAAGUGCAGCACGCGGCAACAUUGACUUUCAAACUUUUACUGGUGAGGAGCCUCAGACCCUCAGACCCUAAUAUGCAACUUUUUGUUUCUAAUAAUUUGAACGCAAAAUGAAAAAUCUGGUUUUACGUUUUCACAUUGAAUUUUUUUUGGGUACUUAAAGCAAAAAGAGUUAAUUUUACUUUUUCCAAAAGAAACAACGAGAUUUUACAAAAAAAAAAAUCAAACUUAAGAGAGGAAAAGAAUGUUUGCAACAAAUUGCCACCAAUUAAAUUUAUCUUGUUGAAAACUUUUCAUGUAAUAUUUAUAGACUCAACGCCCUGUGGUUAUACACACAAGCAAGACAAGUUGUGAACGCAAAGAAGUUCUUCGUUCGGUACUUACUACACGCACAUAUGCAGUACGCAGUGAGCAGUAAGCAGUAAGCAGUGAGCAGUGAACAGUAAGCAAUGUUAGGAGACACAACGCAAACACAGCCAACACACACACACAUACACACACAUGAGAUAAUAUUUAUAUGCGCGUAUAGCAGAUAUUUUGUUACUCAUACGCAGCGUAAGACCUAACCUAAGCCGGCAAGCAAAAUUUUUCCACAGUGCAACUGUGUUACUCAAUUAGUUUUCAUUUCCCUUUGGGUUAAAAAUUUUAAAACACUUUGCAGCAGUGACUUUCUUUUAAGUUUCUACUGAUUGCACUUUACACAUAACGAAAAAUCUUAGUGAACCUUCAUAAAAAUGUAUGAGUGCGUGCUGUACGAGGACUAAUAAAAUUCAAAGCAAUUGGAGCACUUCGGCUUAGUUGGCGUUCUGUACUAUUCUAUACUAUUAUAGCCCAUUUUUUUUGGCAGUCUGUACGUAGCUCAUUGAAACGAUUUCAUUUACUGUGCAAGUAGUAAAUAGAAAAUAAAUAAAUAAAAUAAAAUCAAGAGCAAAAGUUGGGUGCUCCUGCGUUUGUCUGGUCCGCUACUUUUAUGUUUCAAUUAAUUAACACGAAACCACAUAAACUUCGCAGCCUGUUAUAUCCUUCGAUUUGGCAGACGGUGAACUUUCUUUAAGAAGUAUCAUUAACCCGAGUAUGGAAUAAGUUAAAUGUACCAAGCAACGUAUCAAUGUUUAAUGGCAAUUUCAAAGUGAAUUUCGUAUCAAUAAAAGUGAAUAUACGUACAUUUUUCACUUUCGAAUACUCAAAAUAGUUCCAUCACAAAUUGACGCAGCGUUUGAAACGUUCAACGAAUUUUUAAACGUCAAAAACUAGAUGAUCGUUUUAGAGGACCCGGAUAGUAUCGAUUAUAUAUUUGGGUGUUUUGGUGAAAGUGCUCGGGAUAAGUAUCUACAACUAAACCGAAAUCGACUAAAUCAAAGGAGAAAGUUGGGCUAAGAAUUUUUACUAAAUCAGUGUCAUUGCAUCUAGGACAAUUUCUGAGGACUGAUGCUAUUGUGGAUAUUAGUAACAGUGGUUUCAAAACCAUGUAAUAAGAAUAACCUGACUUCAUAGAGGAAGGAAUAAGGAAAAUAACUGAAUACUACCACAAAUAUUUCACAAACAGCACAUAAUACUUUUAAGAAAAGCUAUUGAUCGCCUCAAGAUAUGUCAAUUACACAAGCAAUGCAGAAUGAUGUAGACGAAAACAUAUCUACUCUGUUUCCGACUACCGUAUUAUCUGAAUCAUUUCAUCCGCUCAUCCGCAUCAUUCUAUUAGUCAGAUAACGACAAGUCUGCAGUUUUGGAAGCACUGACAUCCUUGACAGAAGAACAUAUCAAAAGAAUAUCACAUCCUAUAGUCGACAAUUGCAAGCAUACCGUACCUAACAUUAUAAGCAGUUUCCCAUAUUGUCAACAGAUCUACACAACACUGUCAUAUUCUAGCAUGUCCAGGAAAUACUGAUUGUAGCUGCAACAACUAAACUCUGUCUACGAUUAAUCAAAACUUCAAUAUUUCUUCGCAUUAACACACAUCACAUCAAGAUCUUCCUAAACACAUCUGUUUAACUGAGCAUAACAAGAGGGUAAACUAUUAGACAAUCUAUAGCAUGAGAUUAUGAUAUUCACGAAGUUACAGAAUUGUGAAAAUCCAGACCCAGCUAUUUGUUCAAAAGAAGUCUCUCGCGCCACAUUUGACGGUUUUGCUUUGUUUUGUUCCAUAUAUCGUAACGAGUUUUUUGCUAAGAUGGAUAAAUUGGAAAAUUUGCUGCUGUUCAGUUUAGGACUUUCACAGAGAAUAUGUUCAGAUGUUUCAGAUUUCACAAAAGCGACAAUUGCUAGUCUCUGUAAAGCCUGUAAAGUCUCUGUAGUGCUAAUAUAUCGCAAUGAAUGGAUUCUAUUUGAGACUGAUUUGUAUGGGUGGCCUGUCUUUGGUCUUGACGGUUCAUCUAGCAUUUUUCAAAUUGGUAUUUCUUAUAAUGUUAAAGAUUUUUUACUAUUAUUAGUACGUUCCGAGUUUUAU